AUGGGCUAUGGCCGGGAAGAGGUCAGGGAGCAAGGGGGCCACGGGGAUCCGGGGCGUGGGACUCGGGCCCCGGCCUGAGUCUUAGGUAUCCGUAGCGCCCUCCUUCUUCCUCCUCUUCGCUGAAUACAGCUCACGGUAAGUACUGGUUCACACAGUUCGUUCUCGGGGUGCUCACUCUCUUUCUCUUCCUCCACAGGCAACGGCUGGGACACACAGGCACAGUUAGUUCAGCUUGGUUUUGCUCUCACCUCUUCGCUGAUUACAGCUCACAGUAAGUACUGGUUCACACAGUUCGUUCCUUGGGUGCUCACUCGCUUUCUCUUUCUCCACAGGCAGCGGCGUAAGUACAGGUUUCCUCGGUCUCUCCUCGUGUUACCCACUCUCUCUCCUUUUCUCUCCACAGGUAUCAACUUGGGCACAAUAGCACAGUUAGUUCAGCUUGGUUUUGCUCUCACCUCUUCGCUGAUUACAGCUCACAGUAAGUACUGGGUUCGCUCUAUUCCUCCUCGUGUUAUUCACUCUCUCUCCUUUUCUCUCCACAGGUAUCAACUUGGGCACAAUAGCACAGUUACUCUGCUUUGGAUGGCUUUCACCUCUGGGCUGGACACAGCGUACUGUGCUAUCUCCGGAGAUCUGAAGCACGCUCACAACAUAUACUGUACUGAACUAGGCUAGGACCAGCAGUCUCCUUGUCCUCCCGCGACGAAGUGCGUGAAGGCGGGGGUUUAUCUGACAGGACACACGGCAAUACACAGCAGCCCACAGCAAUAUACAGCACCACGUCAAAAUUAUAGGUUUUCACAGCAUGAAGACUCACCCACCACACUCAGUGUACGAAAAGGACACCCGUCUUCCUUCACUUCGCUUGGUUCGGAUCUGGCGAUG
ensembl:lncRNA